rnacentral:rRNA from 1 species
UAGGAUUCCUUUAGUAGCAGCGAGCGAACAAGGAAAAGCCCAGCACUGAAUCCCGUAGUUUUAAUUAAUUACUGGGAAAUGUAGUGUUAAGAAAAAUUCAUUUCUUAAAAUAAAUUAAUAGGUUUAAGUCCAUCUUGAACGGGGCCACUACCCAUAGAGGGUGCUAGGCCCGUAAAACUAUUAAUUUUUUUAAGAGAAUUUUUUCUGAGAGUCGGGUUGCUUGAAAGUGCAGCCCUAAGUGGGUGGUAAACUCCAUCUAAGGCUAAAUAUAACCACGAGACCGAUAGCGAACAAGUACCGUGAGGGAAAGUUGAAAAGAACUUUGAAGAGAGAGUUCAAUAGUACGUGAAACCGUUUAGGAGUAAACCUGAGAAACCCGAAAUGUCAAAAGAAAGAUUCAAUCGCGUUUCGUAUUUAAGUAAUGUUUGAAAUUUUGUGACAAUUAACAUUUAUGUUAAAUGCACUUUUUGUAUAUUUAACUUAUUUCGAACGUGUGCACUUCUUUCUUUAUAGACGUUGCAAUCUGUUGAACGUCAAUUUAAGACUUGUAAGUAAGUUUGUAACUUUUAUAGUUUCAAGACUACAAUGUUCUAAUUGACUUGUUCGACAGUAUAGUAUAUAGUGCAAAGCCGCAAUUUUUUGCGUCUAAUCUAUAACAAGCUAGAAUAAUAUUUUCAUUUGCAUUUUUAUGGUCAUUUGUUAUAUUGUUCAGCUGUUAGUUAUAGUAUAGUUAGACAGACUUUGUUCAUUGAUUAGCAACGCUAUAGCUUUGGGUACUUUCAGGACNNNNNNNNNNNNNNNNNNNNNNNNNNNNAGCAUGUACGCGAGUCAAUAGGAUAUAACUAAACCUAAAGGCGAAAUGAAAGUAAAAAUUUGUUUUUUACAAAUUAAGGGAAGAUGGGUAAAUAAACAAUGUUACCUCGCAUUCCCGGGGCGUUUCGUUUUCAUUACGAGAUGAGGCGCACCAAGAGCGUACACGCUGGGACCCGAAAGAUGGUGAACUAUGCCUGGUCAGGACGAAGUCAGGGGAAACCCUGAUGGAGGUCCGUAGCGAUUCUGACGUGCAAAUCGAUCGUCGGAACUGGGUAUAGGGGCGAAAGACCAAUCGAACCAUCUAGUAGCUGGUUCCCUCCGAAGUUUCCCUCAGGAUAGCUGGCAUUUAUUGUAUAUAGUUUCAUCCGGUAAAGCGAAUGAUUAGAGGCAUUGGGGUCGAAACGACCUCAACCUAUUCUCAAACUUUAAAUGGGUGAGAUCUUCGGCUUGCUUAAAAAGUGAAGCUGUAAGAUUUUUUUUGAAUAAAAAUG